AUGUGGCUGCUGAGUGCUUUCAUCCUGACAGCUGUUUUUUCUUGCGGCUCUGUACAAAUCUUGCAGCAAAGCCCCAUAUCCAUCACCAAGCCAGAAAGCAAGACGGUGCUCAUCAACUGUCAUGUCUCUCAUCCUGAUUUUAACAACAUUUUUAUUCACUGGUAUCGGAAGAAGCCCAAUGCAGGUCCCAGGCGCAUUGCCUACAUGGCCUCCAGGCUGUUCCUUGAAAAUCAGUCUGAUGAAGGCAAGUUUAGUGUUGAGAAGGACCCCACCAAAUCUCUCUGCACCCUGACAGUGAGCAAAGUAACUCUGCAAGACUCUGCUACCUACUUCUGCGCUAAGUGGGAUGCACAGCAGUAG